rnacentral:rRNA from 1 species
CGUAACACGUAUGCAACCUACCCAAAACUGGAGGAUAGCUCGGGGAAACUCGAAUUAACCCUCCAUAAGAUAUUGGUGUGGCAUCACACAGAUAUUAAAAUACAAGUGGUUUUGGAUGGGCAUGCGUCUGAUUAGUUAGUUGGCGGGUAACGGCCCACCAAGACGAUGAUCAGUAGGGGAACUGAGAGGUUGAUCCCCCACACUGGCACUGAGAUACGGGCCAG